GUUCGUGCAUGUCUAAGGUAUAGCAAUUAUACCGCGAAACUGCGAAUGGCUCAUUAAAUCAGUUAUCGUUUAUUUGAUAGUACCUUACUACAUGGAUAACCGUGGUAAUUCUAGAGCUAAUACAUGCUAAAAAUCCCGACUUCGGAAGGGAUGUAUUUAUUAGAUUAAAAACCAAUGCCCUUCGGGGCUCUCUGGUGAUUCAUAAUAACUUCUCGAAUCGCACGGCCUUGCGCCGGCGAUGGUUCAUUCAAAUUUCUGCCCUAUCAACUUUCGACGGCUGGGUCUUGGCCAGCCGUGGUGACAACGGGUAACGGAGGGUUAGGGCUCGACCCCGGAGAAGGAGCCUGAGAAACGGCUACUACAUCCAAGGAAGGCAGCAGGCGCGCAAAUUACCCAAUCCCGACACGGGGAGGUAGUGACAAUAAAUACUGAUACAGGGCUCUUUCGGGUCUUGUAAUUGGAAUGAGUACAAUUUAAAUCCCUUAACGAGGAACAAUUGGAGGGCAAGUCUGGUGCCAGCAGCCGCGGUAAUUCCAGCUCCAAUAGCGUAUAUUAAAGUUGUUGAGGUUAAAAAGCUCGUAGUUGAACCUUGGGCCUAGCCGGCCGGUCCGCCUCACCGCGUGCACUGGCUCGGCUGGGUCUUUCCUUCUGGAGAACCGCAUGCCCUUCACUGGGUGUGCCGGGGAACCAGGACUUUUACUCUGAAUAAAUUAGAUCGCUUAAAGAAGGCCUAUGCUCGAAUACAUUAGCAUGGAAUAAUAGAAUAGGACGUGUGGUUCUAUUUUGUUGGUUUCUAGGACCGCCGUAAUGAUUAAUAGGGACAGUCGGGGGCAUCAGUAUUCAAUUGUCAGAGGUGAAAUUCUUGGAUUUAUUGAAGACUAACUACUGCGAAAGCAUUUGCCAAGGAUGUUUUCAUUAAUCAGGAACGAAAGUUAGGGGAUCGAAGACGAUCAGAUACCGUCGUAGUCUUAACCAUAAACUAUGCCGAUUAGGGAUCGGACGGCGUUAUUUUUUGACCCGUUCGGCACCUUACGAUAAAUCAAAAUGUUUGGGCUCCUGGGGGGAGUAUGGUCGCAAGGCUGAAACUUAAAGAAAUUGACGGAAGGGCACCACCAGGGGUGGAGCCUGCGGCUUAAUUUGACUCAACACGGGGAAACUCACCAGGUCCAGACACGAUGAGGAUUGACAGAUUGAAAGCUCUUUCUUGAUUUCCUGGGGUGGGGGUGCAGGGCCGUUCUUAUUUGUGGGAGGGAUUUGUCUGGCUAAUUUGCAAAACCGAAAGGAACCUUAACCCGGCUAAUAAGCCCCGAAUUGUCUUUGGGGAAAACCUGGGUCUUCUAAAGGGAAAUCCGGCCUCAACCCCAGGGAGAUUUGGGGGCAAAACAAGGCCUGUGAAGCCCCUUAAAUAUUUCUGGGCGCCCCCGCCGCUACUUUGAAAGAACCCACGGGAAUCCCUUU
rnacentral:rRNA from 1 species